rnacentral:tRNA from 1 species
GGGACUGUAACUCAGUGGUAGAGCGCUUGACUAGCACGUGUGAGGUACUGGGUUCGAUUCCCAGCACCCA